rnacentral:rRNA from 1 species
UACAGAGACUGCAAGCGUUAUUCGGAUUCACUGGGCGUAAAGGGUGCGCAGGCGGUUGCGUGUGUUGGGUGUGAAAGCCCGGGGCUCAACCCCGGAAUUGCGCCCAAAACUACGCGACUAGAGUACCGGAGAGGAUAGCGGAAUUCACGGUGUAGCAGUGAAAUGCGUAGAUAUCGUGAAGAACACCAGCGGCGAAGGCGGCUAUCUGGAAGGUAACUGACGCUCAGGCACGAAAGCGUGGGGAGCAAAAGGG